rnacentral:rRNA from 1 species
GACGAACGCUGGCGGCGUGCUUAACACAUGCAAGUCGAACGGAAAGGCCCUGCUUUUGUGGGGUGCUCGAGUGGCGAACGGGUGCGUAACACGUGAGUAACCUGCCCUUGAUUUUGGGAUAACUUCAGGAAACUGGGGCUAAUACCGGAUAGGAGCCCCUGCUGCAUGGUGGGGGUUGGAAAGUUUGGGCGGUUGGGGAUGGACUCGCGGCUUAUCAGCUUGUUGGUGGGGUAGUGGCUUACCAAGGCUUUGACGGGUAGCCGGCCUGAGAGGGUGACUGGCCACAUUGGGACUGAGGUGCGGCCGAGACUCCGACGGGAGGCAGCAGUGGGGAAUAUUGCACAAUGGACGGAAGCCGGAUGCAGCAACGCCGCGUGCUGGAUGACGGCCUUCUGGGGAUAAACCGCUUGCGCCUGUGACGAAGCGUGAGUGACGGUAAUGGGUAAAGAAGCACCGGCUAACUACGUG